GUGCUUGCUUCGGCAGCACAUAUACUAAAAUUGGAACGAUACAGAGAACAUUAACAUGGCCCUGGUGCAAGGAUGACAUGCAAAUUCGUGAAGUGUUCCUUAUUUUU
rnacentral:snRNA from 1 species